rnacentral:rRNA from 1 species
GAGCUGGGUUUAGAACGUCGUGAGACAGUUCGGUCCCUAUCUGCCGUGGGCGCUGGAGAAUUGAGGGGGGCUGCUCCUAGUACGAGAGGACCGGAGGGGACGCAUCACUGGUGUUCGGGUUGUCAUGCCAAUGGCACUGCCCGGUAGCUAAAUGCGGAAGAGAUAAGUGCUGAAAGCAUCUAAGCACGAAACUUGCCCCGAGAUGAGUUCUCCCUGAGACUUUAAGUCUCCUGAAGGAACGUUAAAGACGAUGACGUUGAUAGGCCGGGUGUGUAAGCGCAGCGAUGCGUUGAGCUAACCGGUACUAAUGAACCGUGAGGCUUAACCUUACAACGCCGAAG